UUCAAAGACGAAGUGGAAGUUGUGGAAGAAUUCGUGUUUAAAUCGCAGGAUUCUAGUGAGAUUCUAGUGCAGGUGGAGGUGAUUUCAGCGUUCAAAAAUUAUCGAGCGAUCGGAAGUAAAAGCCUUGGUCCAGCCACCUUUCUUAGAGAAUGGGUCUCCAAGCGUGACGACCGAAUCGUUCCUUCCAGCGAUCGAUCCGGAGACGACGGCACAAACCGCCGUCUAUCGAGAGCAGUGGACGGCCACUUAAGAACUUCUUAAGAGAUAUCGAUCAUUACAACUCAUUGGAACAAAUGUUUCUAACCCGGGAGGACCGAAUUGCGGUUACAAACAUUGCUAUGGUCGAGUUCUACUACCGGUUACCGGACCAAGUUCGGGAAGUUUCAGUGCAAUUAUCCAGAUUCUUAGAAGAAAAGGCGACUUACUUCACUCGACGGCAACUUGUCAGAAGAUGUUUAAAAUGUCAACUUGCUAUCGUUGUCGAAUCACUUUUUAUCGUGCAAACAUCCGUUCGGCAAGACUGCCAAAUCCAAACCUCUUACUUACGGAAAACUGACUUUCGAUAUUG